rnacentral:rRNA from 1 species
AUUGAACGCUGGCGGCAGGCCUAACACAUGCAAGUCGAGCGGAUGAAGGGAGCUUGCUCCUGGAUUCAGCGGCGGACGGGUGAGUAAUGCCUAGGAAUCUGCCUGGUAGUGGGGGAUAACGUCCGGAAACGGGCGCUAAUACCGCAUACGUCCUGAGGGAGAAAGUGGGGGGUCUUCGGACCUCACGCUAUCAGAUGAGCCUAGGUCGGAUUAGCUAGUUGGUGGGGUAAAGGCCUACCAAGGCGACGAUCCGUAACUGGUCUGAGAGGAUGAUCAGUCACACUGGAACUGAGACACGGUCCAGACUCCUACGGGAGGGAGCAGUUGGGAAUAUUGGACAAUGGGCGAAAGCCUGAUCCAGCCAUGCCGCGUGUGUGAAGAAGGUCUUCGGAUUGUAAAGCACUUUAAGUUGGGAGGAAGGGCAGUAAGUUAAUACCUUGCUGUUUUGACGUUACCAACAGAAUAAGCACCGGCUAACUUCGUG